rnacentral:rRNA from 1 species
UGGGGAAUAUUGCACAAUGGACGAAAGCCUGAUGCAGCGACGCCGCGUGAGGGAUGACGGCCUUCGGGUUGUAAACCUCUUUCAGCAGGGACGAAGCGCAAGUGACGGUACCUGCAGAAGAAGCACCGGCUAACUACGUGCCAGCAGCCGCGGUAAUACGUAGGGUGCAAGCGUUGUCCGGAAUUACUGGGCGUAAAGUGUUCGUAGGCGGUUUGUCGCGUCGUUGGUGAAAACCAGCAGCUCAACUGCUGGCUUGCAGGCGAUACGGGCAGACUUGAGUACUGCAGGGGAGACUGGAAUUCCUGGUGUAGCGGUGAAAUGCGCAGAUAUCAGGAGGAACACCGGUGGCGAAGGCGGGUCUCUGGGCAGUAACUGACGCUGAGGAACGAAAGCGUGGGUAGCGAACAGG